rnacentral:rRNA from 1 species
GACGAACGCUGGCGGCGUGCUUAACACAUGCAAGUCGAACGGAAAGGCCCUGCUUUUGUUGGUUGCUCGAGUGGCGAACGGGUGAGUAACACGUGAGUAACCUGCCCUUGACUUUGGGAUAACUUCAGGAAACUGGGGCUAAUACCGGAUAGGAGCUCCUGCUGCAUGGUGGGGGUUGGAAAGUUUCGGCGGUUGGGGAUGGACUCGCGGCUUAUCAGCUUGUUGGUGGGGUAGUGGCUUACCAAGGCUUUGACGGGUAGCCGGCCUGAGAGGGUGAACGGCCACAUUGGGACUGAGAUACGGCCCAGACUCAUACGGGAGGCAGCAGUGGGGAAUAUUGCACAAUGGGCGGAAGCCUGAUGCAGAAACACCGCGUGCGGGAUGACGGCCUUCGGGGUGUAAACCGAUGUCGCAUGUGACGAAGCGGGAGUGACGGUAAUGGGUAAAGAAGCACCGGCUAACUACGUG